CCUACGGGAGGCUGCAGUGGGGAAUAUUGCACAAUGGGCGCAAGCCUGAUGCAGCCAUGCCGCGUGUGUGAAGAAGGCCUUCGGGUUGUAAAGCACUUUCAGCGGGGAGGAAGGCGUUAAGGUUAAUAACCUUGGCGAUUGACGUUACCCGCAGAAGAAGCACCGGCUAACUCCGUGCCAGCAGCCGCGGUAAUACGGAGGGUGCAAGCGUUAAUCGGAAUUACUGGGCGUAAGGCGCACGCAGGCGGUCUGUCAAGUCGGAUGUGAAAUCCCCGGGCUCAACCUGGGAACUGCAUUCGAAACUGGCAGGCUAGAGUCUUGUAGAGGGGGGUAGAAUUCCAGGUGUAGCGGUGAAAUGCGUAGAGAUCUGGAGGAAUACCGGUGGCGAAGGCGGCCCCCUGGACAAAGACUGACGCUCAGGUGCGAAAGCGUGGGGAGCAAACAGGAUUAGAUACCCGUGUAGUC
rnacentral:rRNA from 1 species